rnacentral:rRNA from 1 species
GGAGGACCGUAAGGGAUCGCAAGACCUUGCGCUCAUUGAGCGGCCCCCUUCUGAUUAGCUAGUUGGUGAGGUAAAGGCUUACCAAGGCGACGAUCAGUAGCUGGUCUGAGAGGACGACCAGCCACACUGGGACUGAGACACGGCCCAGACUCCUACGGGAGGCAGCAGUGGGGAAUUUUGGACAAUGGGGGAAACCCUGAUCCAGCCAUGCCGCGUGAGUGAAGAAGGCCUUCGGGUUGUAAAGCUCUUUCAGCCGGAACGAAACGGUCACGGCUAAUACCUGUGACUACUGACGGUACCGGAAGAAGAAGCACCGGCUAACUACGUGCCAGCAGCCGCGGUAAUACGUAGGGUGCGAGCGUUAAUCGGAAUUACUGUGCGUAAAGCGUGCGCAGGCGGUUUUGUAAGUCAGAUGUGAAAUCCCCGGGCUUAACCUGGGAACUGCGUUUGAAACUACAAAGCUAGAAGGG